UUCGUUUCCUGCAAAGAAGGCACUGUGGACAUAGAAGAACAUUUCCUAGGUUUCCUGGAAGUGCAUGAUGCAACUGGAGAGGGUUUGUGUGACACUGUUGUCAAUCAACUGCAUGCCUGGAAUCUUAAUAUUGGUGGUAUGAGGGACCAAGGCUACGACAACAGAGCCAACAUGAAAGGGAAAAGGAAUGGGCUGCAGAGGUGGAUUUUAAAAAUGAACCCUCAAAGUAAAUUCAAGCAAGAAACAAAACACAGAAUUAAUGUGUGCCACUGUUCAAAGAAAGUUGCUCUCUGAAGCCAGCCCCUUCCAAAUAAGUGCAAGCACAAAUGCAGAAUGAAUGUGUGCUACUCAAAAAGAAAUGUCCCUGAGGGAACCAUCUUUACUUAUUUCUCACUUUUUUAUGUAUUUCAAUGUAUUUCUAUGUAUUUCUAUGUAUUUCACUUUUCUAUGUACUUGUGUUGAAAAGCAGUAUACAAAUAGCUAAAACGGAAGCAAGUAGACUUCCUCCCCUCAAAACUCUUAUUUUUAGUCAUAUCACAUGUUAAUCAGUUAAUCACAUCUAACUGAUUUACUGAUUAAUUGAUCGAUAAAUGAAAACUAAUUGGAUUAAUCAGUCAAGGUGUCCUUAACCAGAUAAUAGCUUGAUUAGGCAGGAAGGCUUUAAAAAGAGUCCUCGGGUGUCCCCCACCCCACCCCCCAGUUUUCCAAAGCACAAGUGAAAUUGAGAAGAGAUCCCUGGUCAGGGGGAGAAUGAUCGUGCUUAAGCACACCACACAAACACCACGCAGCCUUGCUAAACACAGCAGGUGUGUGUGUGCGCGCUGGUGAAGGAGCUCUCUCCCUCUCACCUGUUACCCAGACAGUUCCAGCAAGAUAGGAAGCCUGUGUGGUCAGGAGAGCAGCAGGUACGCGCUUUCCUUCCCCAGCCCAGCAUCCUCCUCCGGAGCCCAUUAAUCCUCGGCACCCCUGGCCAGUGCCACUUUGGCCACAUCGUUGAACUGGCCCUGAAUGGUAUCUAGUUGGAAGAGGGCACCAGAUGGGAACAAUUCGGCUCAUUUUUCAUGUGUCACAAAAUGGAAGCAGAGAAAUCUCAAAUGAAAUGAGGGACACUUUUGCCAUUUGUCUUUCUCGGGACUCCCGUUCCUUUUUGGAAGGGAAUUGAUGCUAAAGAUGCUCCUGCAAUGGUAGAGUCCACAGUUCCGGAGAGCACAAAACCUCGGAAGAAGGGAAGCAGAAAGAAGCAACUCACAGCAGGCUGUGGAUGAGGUUAGCCUGGCUUUGAAAGAGGAACUGGAUCUUGCUUACAUUGGCUGGGAGCUGCAGGGUGCUAACACUUCUGCCCAGAGGCGUAACUAGCGAAAAUGGCGCCCAGGGCAGGCACUGGAAUUGCGCCCACCCAAACAUCUGCCCGAUCGCCGCUGCAAUUAUAGAAUGAUAUCAGAUGCCAAUGGUGAAUCGGCGGCGGCAACAGCAGCGGUGAUUGAGCCACGGCGGAAGGGACCUGGUCAAUUGACCCGGAGCUCGCAGUGGCGAGGAGAGGCGGCGCGGCGGUGGUGGCAGUGGCAGUAGGGAGCAGUCGCAGCAGAGCCUUCCGCCCUUGGAAAACACGCUCUUCAAGCGCAUCCUGGUGAGUGAAGGAGAGCGGCAAGCUGCUCCGUGGCGGAGCCUGCUCGCCCGGGAGGGAGUCAGUAUGAGGGACCUCCGCGCUCGCUUUCCUCCGAAACUGGGCCCCGCUGGUGGCUCUCUUGGUCUCCCGAGCGAAAAGCCAUCUCCCCCGGUCCCCCCCUUCCUCCGCUUUAAAGAGGCCGGCGGGAGCGGGAGCGGAAUGCCCACCAGCCCCAGGGCUGCACUUCCUUGGCGGCAGUGAGCGAAGCCGCCCUGACAGACACCCCUUCCACCCGCGGGGCUCCCGGGCCGAGCAAUGCUCCUUGUUCCAGAACCAUUUUGGUGAGUGAGAUGCAGCAGAGAAUGGAAGAGAAUGACCAAGCGCAGGCUCAGUCCAAACCUGACUGCCAAGACUGUGUGUUUGGGGCAUCAUCUUGAUUGUUUGUUUGUUUGUUGUUCUAUUUAUUAUUUCUCUAUGUAAGCAAGUUUGGAAACCUUUGUUGAAAGACAGUGUGAAAAUAUUGUUGUUGUUGUUGUUGUUGUUGUUGUUGUUGGAGCUAUCCCAAUGAAGUCCAUGGGUACUGAUCAACUCUCUUCUGCUCUUUACCCAGGAGUUAAUGGAGCAAGUAACCUUGCAUCCAGACCCUGGCUCCUUCUUCAGAAAAGCCAUGGACACCGUCACGGAGCUGCGGUAGACUCAUAGUCAUCAGGGAUUAAAUAGGAGGGGGUUGUGUCAGGAAAGGGCAGUGGCAAAUUAGACAAGAUCUGCAACUGCAGCUCCCCUUUUUAAAAAAGAUGACAAUUAAUUCUAAGGGGGUUUGUAACAUCUUGUUAAGUCCUCUAGCCUUAACUGCCUCAGGGCUUCCACAGGCCUGGAUUUGUCAUUUUUGAAAAAAGAGGAGAAACCAUCACAGACCAACCCUUUUUACGCCUGCUUAGUUGCCCUGUUCCUCUUCUCUCCAUGAGCUUCCCUUGGCUGAAUCACCAGCCCUGCUCACGCUACGAAAUCUUAUAUUCUCCCCCCGCCUUCCGGCAAAAUCAAGCCGCCGUUGCCCGAGGAGCUCCGGUCGGCAGUGCUGCACGUGGCGGUGUCCGGGGCCAACUACCUGGAGCCAGGGACCCAGGUAAAUUCUCAUUGAGCUUUUUCCUCCUGCGGCACAGACUCCUGCUGCUUCUACUCCUGGGGUCCUUGCAAUGGUUUGACUGCCUGCAGAGGUUCUUUCUUACAUUUCUGAGAUUUAAUGUGUAAGCUCUUCUUCCAGGAUCAUUGUGAGGGGCCUUUCCUACUUCCAAAUAUCCUGGUUGUUUCUCGGCCCAACUGGAAUCAAACACGAUACUGCCAUAAGCAUGAGUGCUUUUUCAGUAUCGUGUUCUUAAGAUGGGUUGUCUCUCCUACUCAUGCCUGAUCUUCUCUUUCCCCCCUAGAAUAAGACCUUUCAAUCUCUUCAGAGAAUGAAGGUGGUGACGGGAGGGGGGGGGCAUUUUAAAAUCUUGUCUCUGGGCCCAAACCAACCUUGUUACGCCCCUGUUGUAACUGUAGUUCUUCGAGUGGUCUUCUGUGCAUUGACACUCCCGCCCUACCUCCCCACAGCAGCUGGUCUCUUUAGUUGAGCGGCGGUCUCCUUGACUGAGGUAGUGUGGGGAUCAACCUACCGAGGGAGUGGGUCUUCCCGCUCUUUUUUCCUUUUGGGGGGGUUAAGCUUUGGAAGGUUCCAGAACGCGACUCUGGGCAAGCGCAAAACCCAAGUGUGAACGCAAAGAAGACCACUUGAAGAACUACGGUUACAGGUAGGAAACCUGCCCUUUCCUUGAUGCCCCUUUUCAUUCCUCAUUUCAUUCCGCAUUUCAUUCCAGCCCCUUUUCAUUCCUCAUUUGUGUGUUUGUGCGUGUGUGCAUUUCUUUUAGGUGGCAAAUCUGAGCUGAGUAAGGUAAGCAGUGGCAGAGGUGCUUUUACUCCUGGAUUUUGGGGAUGCAGCCCCUGGCGUCCAUACUCCUUGGGGGCUCCCAAAUAAUCUUUAGUCAGUCCUGGGUGGUGUGGUUUGUGCCCUCAAGAAUGUAUGUGUUAAAAAAUGUUUAAUUUGCCAUGUGGGGUGUGGGCUCCAAAGGCCUUUAGGUCCAGGCUCCAAAAUUACUUAGGUGCACCUCUGAGCAGAGGCGAUUUUGCCAGCAGCUCUUUCUCUUGGGGGGUUGUAAUUUUUAUCCCCCAGUUAAUUAGCAGAGCACUGAAGAAGCUACCCAUUCCAGUUACAGAGUAGUUGCAGAGUUUAGUUGUUGCAGCUAUUUAGAGAAGACACAUGGAGAUUCUUGUAGAAUAAAUACAAAGUAUUUAUUGGUGAAGUAUACUUUGGUUAGGAAAGACCUAACCCUAAUUUAUAGAAGAACAUAAUGAAUAGGUGGGGGAGAGAGAGAGAUGUUUCCAUCUGCUCUCUAAGAGGAAAGGAAGGGAUUCUUUCUGACUCUCAACAGGAAAUACCUGAAGAGUCCUACCAGGGGUUAUAGAGUAGAGACCGAUAGAAUAGUUAGGGAGACCCUUACUCACUAUCUCUACCCCCAAUGCCCCUAGUGGUCAUAAGGAUAGUUGGUGCAAAAAGUUGAUGCACUGGUAGUCCAUCUCCAACACUUUCCGGAGCUAUGCAAUGUAGUCCUCUACAUUCCUCAUUUGUGUGUUUGUUUGUUUUAGUUGGCAAAUCUCAGCUGCGUAAGGUAAGCAGAGGCAAUUUUGCCAUCUGGUCUUCCUAGUACUAUGCAAUGUGUUCCUUUUCAUUCCUCAUUUGUGUGUGAGUGUGUUUGUUUCUUUUAGGUCGUAAAUCCCAGAUGGGUAAGGUAAGCAGAGGUAAUUUUGCCUUCCUGUCUUUCUAGUGCUAAUCAAUGUGUUCCUUUACAUUCCUUGUGUGUGUGUGUUUGUGUGUGUUUGUUUUUAGGUGGUGAAUCCCAGCUGGUUAAGGUAAGCAGAGGCAAUUGCCAUCAGGUCUUAGCAGUGCUAUGCAAUGUGUUCCUGUUCAUUCCUUCUUGUUGUUUUGUGUUGUGUGUGUUUCUUUUAGGUGGCAAAUCCAAGCUGGGUAAGGUGGCAAAUCCCAGCUGCUUAAGGUAAGCAGAUGCAAUUGCCAUCAGGUCUUGCCCGUGCUAUGCAGUGUGUUCCUUUUCAUUGGGGGUGUUGUUGGGCCUCGUGGGGUGCAAGGUCUCCAUCUGAUUGAUUCUACCCCUGUUUAGGGGUGCCAGUCGGUCUGGCCUCAUAACUCCUGAGGUCUUGUCAAUGUCCUAGGCUAAUGCCUCCACAGGCGUUCCUUUGCCUAUGUCACCUGCUGGAGACAUGACUUCCAAGAGCUGUCUGCCUCUUGACAGCUCUCAGCCGUCUGCCCCUCAUCACGGGCCAGGCCAUUUUAUAUAACCCUGAAAUCUCACGGCAACUCUCACGGGACCUGACGAUCUCACUAGUGAUAGCGCGAGAGUUUGGAGUGUGAUCUUGCAACAUGCUAACAACGUCCCACGAGACCACGGCAGUGUUGGGUGACACUAGGUUACCCGACCACGGGAGCCAGUAGGGCCUGCCGGUCUCAGCUGGUGGGGGUUGGGACCCAUCUGAGGGCGCAGCGUUCCCACCCUGGUUGGGAACGUUCCCACCGGAACCCUCUGGACAUGGGAGGUGGGGGCUAGAGAUAUUGGGACCCUGACAGGUGUGUACGAAUGGUUCAAUAGCAAACUGGUCUGCUGCGAACCAGGCUGGUUCGAUGGUUUGAUCGCGAACCAGACAGGCCUUCAGGAAAGGUGGUCCAGUCCAAGAUCAAGCCAAAUCAGCCCUGACCAGGAGGACAUGGCUCCCAUGUAGCCGUCCUCUCUGAGAAGUGGCUACAUGCAUGGGAUGGCCAAUCGGGUCAGUGUGGCGCUGCUGUUACUUAUGCGCCACACAUGCUUCCCUCCUCAAACUCUGCAGGCUUUGCGACUCCCGCCCACCCUCCCUAGUUCAGUGAGAGAUUAGCUGGUCGCUUAUGGGCCGAGUAGGAAUUUUUGGUCUUCACCUGAUUGGCUUUGCGUGGAGAUUUUUUCGCCUACUCCUCACUGACUGUGUUUUAAAGGGAAUAACCCCCAUUUUAGGGGUGGGAGUCUGGUUGCAGGUUAAGUGGUCACUUUGGCAGGUGAGUGUGGGCUUUGGAGGUUAAGAUCUCGAUUGGUGCUCAGCCAUAGGUACCUUUCAGGUAGAGAUGGUUUCAUGGAACAACCUUUCAGGGUUUUGUGGCCCAGGGGUGUCUGAGGUGGCCACAGCCUAAGGGGUAUACUCGUGGGUCAAAUGAGCCGUAAGCCAGAAUUUGGCUUUUAAAAAGCCAAAUCUGGUCACCUAGCGAAGGAACCACUUUUAGGGCACUGUUCAGCUGACCCACUCAGAGCUUUGGGGCUGGAGGGGUGGUGACCAGUGUUUCCUCUAACAGGGAUUCCCAGAUGUUGACUACAACUCCCAGAAUCCCAAGCUACAAUGGAUUUUGCUUGGGGAUUAUGGGAGUUGUAGUCCACAACAUCUGGGGAUCCAUGUUGGAGGGAACAGUGGUGGUGACCCUGGUGGCUACUUCCUUGACACAGUAAACUGUGUGGCUUGGUGGGGCUAUGCUGAGGUUUCAUAGGGCAUCUGCCAAGCCUGGCUGCUUUGCCCAACAGUGAGAGGAGCUCAGCCCUCGCUAGGAGGCUGUGCCUACCCAAAAAGGGGAUUGGAGUUGCCCACACUCUAGUUUAGGGAGGUUAUAGUUAUACCUGUUGCAGAUCUCUGCAUAGUUUAUAGUUAAUAAAGUGGCCCUAGUUUUCAUCCAUACACGUGUGUUGUGUCUUCCUUUGGGGAUCUGGGGGCAAAGACUUAAUGGCUUGGCGUUGCUGUCCAUCGAGAAGCAGAAGAUCAAACAAAUUCUGGACUUCAGUCAUAGAACCAUCAAACUGCUUGUAAGACAGAAAGAGUGUCAGGCCAAUUUUCUUUACAAACAAUGAUAAGAAAAGGCACUUCUCCGAACAACCAAAUGGAGGAUGUUCCAGUCAGAAAAAAAGAGGCAGCAGAACAGACAUUGUUGCCGGAGCUGAGCUACUUUAUUUUGCACUCAUUGCAAUCAAAACCACCUUUUAUUUCGAGGAGGAGGAGAAGGAGGAGGAAGAAGAAGAAGAGGAGGAGGAGGAAGAAGAAGAAGAAGAAGAAGAAGAAGAAGAA